rnacentral:rRNA from 1 species
CCUACGGGUGGCAGCAGUGGGGAAUAUUGCACAAUGGAGGGAACUCUGAUGCAGCGACGCCGCGUGAGUGAAGAAGUAACUAGUUAUGUUAAGCUCUAUCAGCAUGGAAGUAAGUGACGGUAUCCGUAAAAGAAGCUCCGUAUAAAUACGUGCCAGCAGCGGCGGUAAUAUGUAUGGAGCAAGCGUUAUCCGGAUUUACUGGGUGUAAAGGGAGAGUAGGUGGCAGAGCAAGUCCGAAGUGAAAACCCAAAGCUCAACUAUGGGAAUGCUUUAGAAACUGCUCAGCUAGAGUGCAGGAGAGGCAAGUGGAAUUCUUAGUGUAGCGGUGAAAUGCGUAGAUAUUAGGAAGAACACCGGUGGCGAAGGCGGCUUGCUGGACUGUAACUGACACUGAGGCUCGAAAGCGUGGGGAGCAAACAGGAUUAGAUACCCUGGUAGUC